CGGGGCGUAGCGCAGUUUGGUAGCGUGCUUGGUUCGGGACCAAGAGGUCGCAGGUUCAAAUCCUGUCGCCCCGACCA
rnacentral:tRNA from 2 species